rnacentral:misc_RNA from 1 species
AAGUCGUAACAAGGUUUCCGUAGGUGAACCUGCGGAAGGAUCAUUAACACGUAUCCAAACGUUAAACCCCCCCCGUGAACCUUCAUCCCGCUCUUGUAACCCGCGAAGCUUGCAAUCUCUGGUAAAUCAUAGCCCGGAAAGUAGUUUGAUUCAGAGACCUCUGGCCCGUGCGAACAUUGGAACAGUUACAAUCGACUGCGGUAGUUCUAUAGGCAUUGUUUCCCCAAGCAGUCAGUGUCUGAAAGUGUCAUUGAUUGUGCAAGGAUAGCGCUUCACGAUUCCUGCAGACCGUACACUCGGGCCAAAGGACCCCACAGUUUAAUGUGAAGCUCAAUGUAAUACAUUGGGUAAAAAAACCGAACAACUGUUAACAAUGGAUAUCUUGGUUCUC